rnacentral:rRNA from 1 species
GGUUAAAACUCAAAUGAAUUGACGGGGGCCCGCACAAGCGGUGGAGCAUGUGGUUUAAUUCGAUGCAACGCGAAGAACCUUACCUGGUCUUGACAUCCACGGAAGUUUUCAGAGAUGAGAAUGUGCCUUCGGGAACCGUGAGACAGGUGCUGCAUGGCUGUCGUCAGCUCGUGUUGUGAAAUGUUGGGUUAAGUCCCGCAACGAGCGCAACCCUUAUCCUUUGUUGCCAGCGGUCCGGCCGGGAACUCAAAGGAGACUGCCAGUGAUAAACUGGAGGAAGGUGGGGAUGACGUCAAGUCAUCAUGGCCCUUACGACCAGGGCUACACACGUGCUACAAU